rnacentral:rRNA from 1 species
UACGGAGGGUGCAAGCGUUGUCCGGAUUUAUUGGGUUUAAAGGGUGCGUAGGCGGUUCUUUAAGUCAGUGGUGAAAUACUGCAGCUCAACUGUAGCAUUGCCAUUGAUACUGAAGAACUUGAGUACAGAUGAGGUAGGCGGAAUUUAUGGUGUAGCGGUGAAAUGCAUAGAUAUUAUCAAGAACACCGAUUGCGAAGGCAGCUUACUAAGGAGUUACUGACACUGAGGCACGAAAGCGUGGGGAUCAAACAGG